GACGAACCGUGCGAACGUUGUUCGGAAUCACUGGGCUUAAAGGGCGCGUAGGCGGGCGGGAAAGUCCGGGGUGAAAUCCUCCAGCUUAACUGGAGAACGGCCUCGGAGACUUCCGGUCUUGAGGGGGGUAGGGGCGUGCGGAACUGUGAGUGGAGCGGUGAAAUGCGUUGAUAUUCACAGGAACUCCGGUGGCGAAGGCGGCACGCUGGACCCCAUCUGACGCUGAGGCGCGAAAGCCAGGGGAGCGAACGGG
rnacentral:rRNA from 1 species